rnacentral:tRNA from 1 species
CGGGGCGUAGCGCAGCCCGGUUAGCGCACCUGUCUGGGGGACAGGGGGUCGUGGGUUCGAAUCCCGCCGCCCCGACCA